AAAGGGGGAGACAAGGAACCGACCCUUGUUCAUUCUCCCGACUCUCUUUGUUUUGGUCUCGGUGCUUGCUUCGUGUCACCGCCAUGGCGAAGGAGUUUUCGGUUCCUCCGGUGGUUUUCCCCUCUCCCUCCGGCAAUCCCAACGUGCCGCAGCAGCGCCGUGCUUCAGGGCCUGGGCUGGCGCCGCCCUUCCAGCCUCCUCGACCUUCGAAUCCCGGAGUCGCCAACCCUAGCAUCCCCUUCAUGUCCUUCGACAUCGGAUCCACCACCGCUUCUUCCUCCUUCUCCGCCCCCGUCUAUGCCUCCUCCAGCGGGGUUGGGAGUCUCUCCGUCUCCGGUUCGUUUGAGGACGAGCCGCCCCUCCUCGAGGAGCUCGGCAUCAACACCCGCCAGAUCUGGCGGAAGACCCUAUCCAUCAUGAAUCCCUUUCGCGUUAACCCUAAUCUGCACGAGGACGGCGACCUAUCCGGCCCUUUCCUCUUCCUUAUGGCAUUUGGUCUCUUCCAGCUUCUCGCUGGAAAGUUUCACUUCGGAAUCAUCUUGGGUUGGGUCACCGUCGCCUCUCUCUUCCUCUACGUGGUCUUUAACAUGCUUGCUGGGCGGAACGGAAAUCUGGAUCUGUAUCGGUGCUUGAGCUUGAUUGGGUAUUGUAUGCUGCCAAUGGUUAUCUUCUCGGCUCUGUCACUGUUUGUGCCUCACGGCGGUGUCGUGAUCUUUGCGAUGGCUUUGGUGUUUGUGCUGUGGUCUACACGAGUUUGCACGAGGCUUCUGGUUGAGCUUGCUUCUUGUGGGGAUGAACACCGUGGUCUCAUAGCCUAUGCCUGUUGGCUCGUUUACUUGCUUUUCUCUCUGCUUAUUAUAUUCUGAUUAUGGUUGCAUAGGUGAAAGCCUAAUUGACUUGAUCGGUAUGUUUGUGAGCACGAACGGUACAUAUCUUAGUCAAGGUGUUACCAAUUUGAUAAUUGUCGGUUAUCAAUGACUACUGUAAAUGGUAUUAAUCCAUCUUGUAGUGAUAUACCACCCAUAAUACUACCAUAUGGUUCUAUUGUGUUCUAACAACUAUAAAAUAAGUUAGUGAUGACGAAAGUUGAUAACACUUACUACAGGCGCAGCUCCACGGCGGGCCCCAAGGCAUAUGAAAAAGAGGUAAAUUAUGAUAUUGAACUGCCAUUUAGGUGUGAGGUCCUAGUGAUUGAACGGGAUUCGAACCUUCCUGCUGUGAAGUAAAUCUACUACUCUACGUGCAUGUGGGCACAAAUUAGUGUCACUCGUAAUACAGAUUAAUGUUAUCCAUCUGUAAUAUAAAUUCAUACCAUCUGUAAUAUAAGUUCAUAAGGACUGCUUUCUUUCUAGACUACCAGAUCCGGUCUAAUAUGGAGGAGAUCCGAUAGCUCGUUAGGAGCAUGUCCCUAUAAAUAGGACAACAAAAGCAAGUUAACAAUAUUCCUCUUCUUCUCCUCCAUUUUAUCUCAUUCAGUCCAACGCUGAUUUGAUUAUCGGAGGAUUUACACUGGCCAUUGUCUGCGUCCACUGAUGAGUGUUGACGUGCGAUUUCGGACGGGAGUAGGAGCUGGCUAAUGUUACGUUGUCUAGGAAACUAGGACUAAGACGUUCAGAAAUCUAAAGACGUUGAGGAAGGAGAGGAAGGAUGGAGGCAGGGGAAAAAUCCCUACCACGCGAAGCAGGCCCGUGCCCAGGUCUCCUGAGGAUCUUCUCUCUGUUCCUCUCGUCCCUUCCUCAUCUCACCGCUGUCAUGGAGGCGAGGUCGCAGCCAUAGGUUCCUGAGUUGGAGCUGACACGUGAGGCGAAGAUUGAGGUUGUUGAAGAAGAAAAAGAAGAGGCAAAGCUGACAGAAUUUCAUCUUCCGGCGGCGAUGGAUUGGGAUAUGCUGGACAAAUCGUACUUUUUCGUCUUCAGCGCCGCACUCUUCUCUAUAGGGCUGUAAAUAAGUUGAGCCGAGUUGAGUUUUGGGAUGUUCAAACUUGUUUGAUAAGAUACCUGAGACA